UGGGAAUCUUGGACAAUGGGGGCGAACCCUGAUCCAGCCAUGCCGCGUGAGUGAUGAAGGCCUUAGGGUCGUAAAGCUCUUUCGCCUGUGAAGAUAAUGACGGUAGCAGGUAAAGAAACCCCGGCUAACUCCGUGCCAGCAGCCGCGGUAAUACGGAGGGGGUUAGCGUUGUUCGGAAUUACUGGGCGUAAAGCGCACGUAGGCGGACCAGAAAGUUGGGGGUGAAAUCCCGGGGGCUCAACCCCGGAACUGCCUCCAAAACUAUUGGUCUAGAGUUCGAGAGAGGUGAGUGGAAUUCCAAGUGUAGAGGUGAAAUUCGUAGAUAUUUGGAGGAACACCAGUGGCGAAGGCGGCUCACUGGCUCGAUACUGACGCUGAGGUGCGAAAGUGUGGGGAGCAAAACAGGAUUAGAUACCCUGGUAGUCCACACCGUAAAACGAUGAAUGCCAGUCGUCGGGUAGCAUG
rnacentral:rRNA from 1 species